rnacentral:rRNA from 1 species
AGACCCGAAACCCGGUGAUCUAGCCAUGGGCAGGUUGAAGGUUGGGUAACACUAACUGGAGGACCGAACCGACUAAUGUUGAAAAAUUAGCGGAUGACCUGUGGCUGGGGGUGAAAGGCCAAUCAAACCGGGAGAUAGCUGGUUCUCCCCGAAAGCUAUUUAGGUAGCGCCUCGUGAAUUCAUCUCCGGGGGUAGAGCACUGUUUCGGCUAGGGGGCCAUCCCGGCUUACCAACCCGAUGCAAACUGCGAAUACCGGAGAAUGUUAUCACGGGAGACACACGGCGGGUGCUAACGUCCGUCGUGAAGAGGGAAACAACCCAGACCGCCAGCUAAGGUCCCAAAGUCAUGGUUAAGUGGGAAACGAUGUGGGAAGGCCCAGACAGCCAGGAUGUUGGCUUAGAAGCAGCCAUCAUUUAAAGAAAGCGUAAUAGCUCACUGGUCGAGUCGGCCUGCGCGGAAGAUGUAACGGGGCUAAACCAUGCACCGAAGCUGCGGCAGCGACGCUGAUGCGUUGUUGGGUAGGGGAGCGUUCUGUAAGCCUGCGAAGGUGGCCUGUGAGGGUUGCUGGAGGUAUCAGAAGUGCGAAUGCUGACAUAAGUAACGAUAAAGCGGGUGAAAAGCCCGCUCGCCGGAAGACCAAGGGUUCCUGUCCAACGUUAAUCGGGGCAGGGUGAGUCGACCCCUAAGGCGAGGCCGAAAGGCGUAGUCGAUGGGAAACGGGUUAAUAUUCCCGUACUUGGUGUUACUGCGAAGGGGGGACGGAGAAGGCUAUGUUGGCCGGGCGACGGUUGUCCCGGUUUAAGCGUGUAGGCUGGUUUUCCAGGCAAAUCCGGAAAAUCAAGGCUGAGGCGUGAUGACGAGGCACUACGGUGCUGAAGCAACAAAUGCCCUGCUUCCAGGAAAAGCCUCUAAGCAUCAGGUAACAUCAAAUCGUACCCCAAACCGACACAGGUGGUCAGGUAGAGAAUACCAAGGCGCUUGAGAGAACUCGGGUGAAGGAACUAGGCAAAAUGGUGCCGUAACUUCGGGAGAAGGCACGCUGACACGUAGGUGAAGUGAUUUACUCAUGGAGCUGAAGUCAGUCGAAGAUACCAGCUGGCUGCAACUGUUUAUUAAAAACACAGCACUGUGCAAACACGAAAGUGGACGUAUACGGUGUGACGCCUGCCCGGUGCCGGAAGGUUAAUUGAUGGGGUCAGCGCAAGCGAAGCUCCUGAUCGAAGCCCCGGUAAACGGCGGCCGUAACUAUAACGGUCCUAAGGUAGCGAAAUUCCUUGUCGGGUAAGUUCCGACCUGCACGAAUGGCGUAAUGAUGGCCAGGCUGUCUCCACCCGAGACUCAGUGAAAUUGAACUCGCUGUGAAGAUGCAGUGUACCCGCGGCAAGACGGAAAGACCCCGUGAACCUUUACUAUAGCUUGACACUGAACAUUGAGCCUUGAUGUGUAGGAUAGGUGGGAGGCUUUGAAGUGUGGACGCCAGUCUGCAUGGAGCCGACCUUGAAAUACCACCCUUUAAUGUUUGAUGUUCUAACGUGGACCCGUUACCCGGGUUGCGGACAGUGUCUGGUGGGUAGUUUGACUGGGGCGGUCUCCUCCUAAAGAGUAACGGAGGAGCACGAAGGUUGGCUAAUCCUGGUCGGACAUCAGGAGGUUAGUGCAAUGGCAUAAGCCAGCUUGACUGCGAGCGUGACGGCGCGAGCAGGUGCGAAAGCAGGUCAUAGUGAUCCGGUGGUUCUGAAUGGAAGGGCCAUCGCUCAACGGAUAAAAGGUACUCCGGGGAUAACAGGCUGAUACCGCCCAAGAGUUCAUAUCGACGGCGGUGUUUGGCACCUCGAUGUCGGCUCAUCACAUCCUGGGGCUGAAGUAGGUCCCAAGGGUAUGGCUGUUCGCCAUUUAAAGUGGUACGCGAGCUGGGUUUAGAACGUCGUGAGACAGUUCGGUCCCUAUCUGCCGUGG